AUCAAUGACAUCAUGGGUGUUUUGCCAAUUGGGUCAGUAUUUCACCUGGGCAGUAGAAACACACUUAAGGUUUAUUUCUGAAAGCUUUGUUUUUGUACCCAGAUGCAACUCUUUAUUCUGGUUCUACAACAUUGUACAGAAUGACGUGCAAAAGCUGCAAGCACAAAUUCAUUUCUUUUUAAAAAACAGCUGUUAAAGAGCUGCCAUGCUCUUUCCCAGAGGUGGCUACAUUUUGGUACUGGAUGACAUUUCCCUAUAUGAAAAGGAUCUGCAUAAAGACCAGUGCCAUAUAUGUAGAAGCUCUGUGCCUCCAAGCCAGCUUUGUGUUCUUGGAAGACCUUCAAUUCCACUCUCCACAUUAGAAAGGCACAUUGUACCUCUUCAGGGCGCAGAGGGAUUGUAAAGUCGCAUUGAUCAGGAGACAGGGCAAAGGAUUAGGACUCAGAAGACCUGGGUUCUAUCUCCACCUCUGUCAUAGAGCUGCUGUGUGACCUGGGGCACGUCACUUCACUUCUCUGUGCCUCUCCUUCCUUUGUUGUCUAAUCAUAUUGUAGCCUAUUGGGGGCAUGGAGUCUCUUCCUAUGUGUUUGUACAGUGCUUGCCACAAAGGGCCCCUUAUUAAGUUGGAGCUUUUGGGAUAUUGCAAUACAAAUAAAAUAAAUAAAUAAAUAAAUAAAUAAUAAAGCCUGCAGGUGGUAACUCCAUCCCAGGGUAGCAGAGAUGCUGUGGUUCCCAGUGCAGUAAGCAUGAGGGAGAGAAUGGCCCCUUUAGGGCUUCAUGGACCGUAAAGUUGCUUGGAGGGUGGCCAACACACUAGAGGUGAUUAAGGUGGAAUGAAGCCACUUUGAAUCUUACAUCUUACAACAGUGAUAUUACAGUGCUUUGAACAAUUACUGUUAAAUACGGUAGUAUUUUAUUCAUGAAGGUUGAAAGGCAAAUCUAUAAACCUUUCCCCACCUUUACAAUGAAAGCACAUACAAAUAAAGCCUCUGAAGUCUAAAGUCCCUGUAGGAAUAGCGUGGUAUUUUGGGAGAAAGUCAAAUGCAAUAUUUAUAUCUGCAGUUUAUACAUGUGACCUGAUGCACCACCUGUCUCAUGGGAGCAUUCAUUUAAGUUAAUUAGCGGUCUGUGCACACAGCACUUGCUGUACAAAGCAGCUAUAGUUCCAUACACAUGGACAUGUGAAUAACAGAAGCAGAUGUCUAUUGGAUGAGGAUGCAGAUUUUGGAGAUGACUCAGGAUGCAAAAAGUGCUGUGAACUAAACAUUCUUCCUGAUGACUUAGCUCUUGCAGGAGACAAAAUGAGCUCCUAAAGUUAAAAACAGACAUCUAAUGUAAUCAGAUGAUUGACACCAUACCAACUACCAUGUUUUCUUUCUUCAUCAACAAGAAACCUGUUUGAGCAACUGGCUAUAUAUCAAUCUCCAUUAUUUUCACUAAAAAUUCCCUGUAUAUCUUUUAGUUGUUCAUCUGAACUGAAAUGUUGAACCUUUUAAGGUUCAACCAUCAGUAAUCUGGAUAUGAUACAGAUAACAACACAUGGAACUUCUAUCCAAACCUGGGCACUGGUAGUGCAUCAAAAUCUCUGUAUAUGUGGAGUACCACUGAAAUCUAGAGGGCCUUAGCAGAAGUGUAGAGUGCUUGUGGAUUCUGAUGCAGGACUGAGGUUUUGUAUAUGGGAAUAAAAAUAAAUAUAUAGUUCAUGUUACUGACAAGGUUUAAGUAACACAUUAUGAUCACUCUGUACAAUUUAAUACUUUGAUACCACUUUGUCAUGGGCUGCUACUACUACAGUUAUUACUGGAGAGACAUAUACAGACAUCACUCCAGGCAAAGACUUACACAUGCAUUUAACUUUACACAUUGUGAGUAGUUCAGUGUCUGUCAGUGCAUAAAGUUAAAUGCAGCAUAAGUCCUUGUAUAUAUAUGCAUGUGUACACACACACACACACGUAGACACACACACACACACACACACACUGUAUUUACCUAAUUAGAAAUCAAGCAGCUGAUUUAUGUCUGCAGCACAUUUUAAAUGUUGAUUUUUGUUCAAAAUCUAUUUCUCUCAAUUGCAUUACAGCUGUACCAAAUUCCAGUGUUGAAAGCAUUAUGAUCUUUGGUGUUCACCACUGAAACAGUGACAGCUGUUCUCUCUUCAUGAUGUACACUUGUGACAGACUAACGAUGCCAUACUGUGGUGAACAACAAUUGGAAACACCACUACUCAAAUGCAGACAAAAAUGAUUGGGGCCUAUUCUUUCCAGGAGAAACUGUGCUUUGAAAUAAUCUGUUCCCUUUUAUAGCACAUGCUGCUUCACAUGUAAAUACUGGCAUUUUCUUUAAGUCAGUUGGGGUCACUGAAAAUAAUACCUUUCCACCUUGCUGUAUUCUUUUUUCUUUCCCUCCGCUUGAUAACUGAAGAGGCUCCCAGCACAUUGUCCAUUUCGCUUACAUGUUCCUGAAUGGUCGUGCUCACUUCAUCAUAUAAAAGACUAACCCCACUAAUGUCAUCAAAUGCCUGAAAAACAGAAUGUAUAAAACCCAGACACAUUACUGUGGCCCAGUUCAGUGAAAUAUUAAGUUAGAAGCAACCAACGUGAGUUUGCUUUCACUUCCUUUCCUCUUCGCCUUUUUAAAAUAUUAUAGCUUGAAAGUCUCUUUGUAUUUGAAAUUUUGUACUGUCAUACUAAUAACCCAGCUCAGCAGCAGCUUACAAUUUGGGUUUCAUGGUUCAGUUCCAUGCCGAGACUUUAUACAAUUUUUAUAACAGUACUGCCAAAACAUUAUAGAGUAAGAGUUCUUGGAAAUAUAUUCACUAAUACAGAUAACAGUGGCGGGAUUAGCAAUUUAAACACAUGUGAAAUGUGAAUUCGCCUAAUUUUGCUCAGAACCUAAAAUGCUC